rnacentral:snRNA from 1 species
AGCUUUGCCCUGUGGCAGUGUUGGAGCCAGUGAGGUUUAUCUGAGGCACGAUUAUUGCUAAUUACAAACUGUCCUCAAAUGGCCCUGAGACACCAGUUCAAAUAUACCUACCCAUGGGUGAAUAUCAUUUGUGUCUUCCUGAAUAUGUAAAAUGCAUAGAUCUUAAAUAC